rnacentral:rRNA from 1 species
UUCGGCCUACGGGGGGCAGCAGUAGGGAAUAUUGCUCAAUGGGGGAAACCCUGAAGCAGCAACGCCGCGUGGAGGACGAAGGCUUUAGGAUUGUAAACUCCUUUUGUGAGAGAAGAUAAUGACGGUAUCUCACGAAUAAGCACCGGCUAACUCCGUGCCAGCAGCCGCGGUAAUACGGAGGGUGCAAGCGUUACUCGGAAUCACUGGGCGUAAAGAGUGCGCAGGCGGGCUUGUAAGUCAGAUGUGAAAUCCUGUAGCUUAACUACAGAAAUGCAUUUGAAAUUAUG